rnacentral:rRNA from 1 species
CCUACGGGCGGCAGCAGUCGAGAAUCAUUCACAAUGGGGGAAACCCUGAUGGUGCGACGCCGCGUGGGGGAAUGAAGGUCUUCGGAUUGUAAACCCCUGUCAUGUGGGAGCAAAUUAAAAAGAUAGUACCACACGAGGAAGAGACGGCUAACUCUGUUCCAGCAGCCGCGGUAAUACAGAGGUCUCAAGCGUUGUUCGGAAUCACUGGGCGUAAAGCGUGCGUAGGCUGUUUCGUAAGUCGUGUGUGAAAGGCGCGGGCUCAACCCGCGGACGGCACAUGAUACUGCGAGACUAGAGUAAUGGAGGGGGAACCGGAAUUCUCGGUGUAGCAGUGAAAUGCGUAGAUAUCGAGAGGAACACUCGUGGCGAAGGCGGGUUCCUGGACAUUAACUGACGCUGAGGCACGAAGGCCAGGGGAGCGAAAGGGAUUAGAUACCCUGGUAGUC